rnacentral:rRNA from 1 species
CCUACGGGUGACUGCAGUGGGGAAUAUUGGACAAUGGGCGAAAGCCUGAUCCAGCCAUGCCGCGUGUGUGAAGAAGGCCUUCGGGUUGUAAAGCACUUUCAGUGGGGAAGAAAGCCUUGGGGCUAAUACCCUCGAGGAAGGACAUCACCCACAGAAGAAGCACCGGCUAACUCCGUGCCAGCAGCCGCGGUAAUACGGAGGGUGCGAGCGUUAAUCGGAAUUACUGGGCGUAAAGCGCGCGUAGGCGGUCUGAUAAGCCGGUUGUGAAAGCCCCGGGCUCAACCUGGGAACGGCAUCCGGAACUGUCAGGCUAGAGUGCAGGAGAGGAAGGUAGAAUUCCCGGUGUAGCGGUGAAAUGCGUAGAGAUCGGGAGGAAUACCAGUGGCGAAGGCGGCCUUCUGGACUGACACUGACGCUGAGGUGCGAAAGCGUGGGUAGCAAACAGGAUUAGAUACCCUGGUAGUC